rnacentral:rRNA from 2 species
GGUCUUUAGUUUUUAAUUUAAGAUCAGGCCUGCCCAUUGAUUUGAAAGAUUAAAAGGCUGCGGUAUUUUAACUGUACGAAGGUAGCAUAAUCAUUUGUCUUUUAAUUGGAGGCUAGAAUGAAUGGUUUGAUGAGAAAUAGACUUUCUUUUUUUAAUUUAUAUUAAUUUAAUUUUUUAGUUAAAAAGCUAAAAUUUUUUUAUAGGACGAGAAGACCCUAUAGAAGUUUACUAUAUUAAUAAUUCUUUAUUUUUUGUUGUUAAAAUAUUUUUUUAAAUUAUAUAGUUUUGUUGGGGUGACAUUAAAAUUUAUUAAACUUUUAAUUAUUUUUUCAUUAAUUUAUGUUUUUUUGAUCCAAUAUUUAUUGAUUAUAAGUUUAACUUACCUUAGGGAUAACAGCGUAAUUUUUUCGGAGAGUUCAUAUCGAUGAAUAAAGUUUGCGA